rnacentral:rRNA from 1 species
CCUACGGGAGGCAGCAGUGGGGAAUAUUGCACAAUGGGCGCAAGCCUGAUGCAGCCAUGCCGCGUGUGUGAAGAAGGCCUUCGGGUUGUAAAGCACUUUCAGCGGGGAGGAAGGCGGUGAGGUUAAUAACCUCAUCGAUUGACGUUACCCGCAGAAGAAGCACCGGCUAACUCCGUGCCAGCAGCCGCGGUAAUACGGAGGGUGCAAGCGUUAAUCGGAAUUACUGGGCGUAAAGCGCACGCAGGCGGUCUGUCAAGUCGGAUGUGAAAUCCCCGGGCUCAACCUGGGAACUGCAUUCGAAACUGGCAGGCUAGGGUCUUGUAGAGGGGGGUAGAAUUCCAGGUGUAGCGGUGAAAUGCGUAGAGAUCUGGAGGAAUACCGGUGGCGAAGGGGCCCCCUGGACAAAGACUGACGCUCAGGUGCGAAAGCGUGGGGAGCAAACAGGAUUAGAUACCCCGGUAGUC